rnacentral:rRNA from 1 species
UUUCGACCUCAGCUCGGGCGUGCGUACCCGCUGAACUUAAGCAUAUCAGUAAGCGGAGGAAAAGAAACUAAAAAGGAUUCCCUUAGUAACUGCGAGUGAAGAGGGAAAAGCCCAGCACCGAAUCCCUCGGCGUAAAUGCUGACGGGAAGUGUGGUGUUAAGAGUGAUUUCUGUUCAUUGUUGUCUUUAUCAAGUUCUCUUGAUCGUGGCUUGAUGGCCCAUAGUGGGUGUCAGGCCUUUAGUGUAAAGACGAUGGUGGACAUGAAUCACUCGAAGAGUCGGGUUGUUUGUGAGUACAACCCAAAGCAGGUGGUAAACUCCAUCUAAGGCUAAAUAUGAGUACGAGUCCGAUAGCAAACAAGUACCGUGAGGGAAAGUUGCAAAGAACUUUGAAGAGAGAGUUCAAGAGUACGUGAAACCGCUAGGAGGGAAGCAGGUGAAGCCACAUGGUUGCCGUAGGAAUUCAGCUGUUCGCGUUCGCUAGCUGUAUUUGAGUCGCAGGCACUGAGAGGUGUUUGGGCUUGGGUGCAGUUUAGUGGAUUAGGAGCGGCGCAUUUUCUUGCGUGCAAUGAGCCACGAGCGGUUGAAGAACCUCUAGCUUAGAGUGUCUACGUAGAGCAACAGCCGAUGUUCUGUUUCGGUUUCGUUUGUUUUAGUAGCGCUCGAAAUAGCACAUGUUCUUCGAUCGAAGCAGCAGUUCACAGCUGAGGCGGCUUAAGCCACUUGGCGGGGCUAGCUGUGCAUUCGAGUUUGCUUGUGUUAUUUUGGUACUGCAUUGCAGUGCUGGGUAGCAUUGGGUUUACUCUCGUAGUGCACGCUUGCCUGAGAGCUUUUUUACGUCGCUGCUUAGUGACCGGCUGGCCACUCACCUGUCCCGUCUUGAAACACGGACCAAGGAGUUUAUCAUGCAGGCGAGUCUGAGGGUGUAGCAAAACCCGAAGGCGAAGCGAAAGCAAAGUCUGCCCUUGUGGUGGAUGUGAUGUGAUCCUGGCAAGGUGAGAGCCUACCGGGCGCAACAUCGUCUCGUCGUAUCCUCGUUGAGGUGCGGCGACGACAUAGCCUGCAUGAUGAGACCCGAAAGAUGGUGAACUAUGCCAGAGCAGGGUGAAUCCAGAGGAAACUCUGGUGGAAGCCUGAAGCGAUUCUAACGUGCAAAUUGAUCGUCUGACUCUGGUAUAGGGGCGAAAGACCAAUCGAACCAUCUAGUAGCUGGUUCCCUCCGAAGUUUCCCUCAGGAUAGCUGGCACUCGGAGAGCAGUAAUACCCGGUAAAGCGAAUGAUUAGAGUGUUCCGGGUUGAAACGACCUAAACCUAUUCUCAAACUUUAAAUGGGUAUGACAAUUGGCUCGCUUGAUUUUGGAGUCAAUGUAGUGCAUGCUUGUAGUGCCAAGUGGGCCAAUUUUGGUAAGCAGAACUGGCGCUGUGGGAUGAACCAAACGUCUGGUUAAGGUGCCUAACACAAACGCUCAUGAGAAACCACAAAAGGUGUUGGUUGAUAGAGACAGCAGGACGGUGGUCAUGGAAGUUGACAUCCGCUAAGGAGUGUGUAACAACUCACCUGCCGAAUCAACCAGCCCUGAAAAUGGAUAGCGCUAGAGCGUUGGACCUAUACCGGACCGUCAGAGUAGAUUUAAAGUAGACUCUGACGAGUAGGAGGGCGCUGUGGUCAGCGUAGAAGCCUAGGACGUGAGUCCGGGUGGAGCGGCCACAGGAGCAGAUCUUGGUGGUAGUAGCAAGUAUUCAAGUGAGAACCUUGAAGACUGAUGUGUGGAGAAGGGUUCCAUGUGAACAGCAGUUGCACAUGGGUCAGUCGGUCCUAAGAGAUGGGUUAACUCCGCCUGAGGUGAGGGAGUGAUCAUACUGUCCGACACUCUAUCCUAUCUCGAAAGGGAAUCAGGUUAAUAUUCCUGAACCUGCUCACGGAGAUCGUUCUCGCAAGGGAACUCGUGCGGUAACGCAAGCUCUCUCGGAGAGGUCGGUGGUAGUCCCGGGAAGAGUUAUCUCUUCUUUGUAAGUAUCCGUGUUCCAUGGAAACGGCUUUGCCGGAGAUAUGGACGUUAGGGUACGUAAAGCAUCGCGUUUUACGCGGUGUCCGGUGCACUAUUAUCGGUCCGUGAAAAUCCGAGUGUGGCAUUGAUUUUCGUGGCAGACCGUACCCAUAUCCGCAACAGGUCUCCAAGGUGCUCAGCCUCUAGUCUCUAGAACAAUGUAGGUAAGGGAAGUCGGCAAAUUUGAUCCGUAAGUUCGCGAAAAGGAUUGGCUCUGAGGACUGGGCUGAUCGGGAUGUUUCAUUAAGCUGUGAGGGGAGCGGUUAGAGUUGUCGAGUCGGUUUCCAGCAAUGGUUACUUGCCUUGGUGACUUUGACUUGUGACCUUCCAGUAGCGUGUUGCAUCUAUGCGGCCGUUGUUCUGUGGCGGUUCGCGUCGGUCAGUGCUAAACAGUUGACUCAGAACUUGCAAGGACCAGGGGAAUCCGACUGUAUAAUUAAAACAAAGCAUUGCGAAGGCUCGCUAGAGUGCUUGCGCAAUGUGAUUUCUGCCCAGUGCCAUGAAUGUCAAAGUGAAGAAAUUCAACGAAGCGCUGGUAAACGGCGGGAGUAACUAUGACUCUCUUAAGGUAGCCAAAUGCCUCGUCAUCUAAUUAGUGACGCGCAUGAAUGGAUC